GGAGUCCUGCUCUGUUGCCCAGGCUGGAGUGCAGCAGCGUGAUCUCGGCUCACUGCAACCUCCACCUCCCAGGUUCAAGCGAUUCUCCUGCCUCAGGCUCCUGAGUAGCUGCGAUUACAGGCGCGUGCCACCAUGCCCGGCUAAUUUUUGUAUUUUUAGUAGAGGCAGGGUUUCACCAUGUUGGUCAGGCUAGUCUCGAACUCCUGACAUCGUGAUCCACCCGCCUCGGCCUCCUAAAGUGCUGGGAUUACAGGCGUGAGCCACCCUGCCUGGCCUAAGCAACCACAUCUUGCAUGAACUAACUGAGCGAGAACUCACUUAUCACUGAAGGGAUGGCGCUACACCAUUCACGAGGGGCUAUUCCCAUGAUCCAAUCACCUCCCACCAGGCCCCACCUCCAACAGUGGGGAUCACAUUUCAACAUGAGAUUUGGAGAGGACAAACAUCCAAACGAUAUCAGGCUGAAAACACGGCUGGCACUUGAAACUUUAGAGAAGUCACCUUUUCCCUGGGCUCCUCGCUCUGGUCUCCCUGAGACUGUCACAGCGGCUUCAUAGGUGCUUCGAGUUUCUUUGCCACCCCCUGAUCAGGCCUUCUGUGUUUUGUAGUAGUCGCCUUCCCAGAUUUAUUGAGUAGCUCAGCUGAACCAAGGUCUGAGCAUUCAAUUAGGUCUUGUUAUUCAUCCGUUCACCAAAUAUUUAGUGAGCCAUGUGCCAGGCACAUUUCUAGCUGCUGAUACAGCUGUGAACAAGACAGAUGAAGCCCUUGCCCUUCGUGGAGCUCACAUUUUAAUAAAUAGUUUGGAGGCGGACAAAGAGAAAAUAAACAGAGAAACACGAACCUGGAGCAUUUGGCUCACAACUUAGAGUUGACUCAUCUUCAGUUUGACGUCCCUCCUGCUACGAGUUCCUGGCUAACUGACAUCUCUUCUCCUCAAGCAGAUGCUAACUUUGAGCCCUACCACUGCCUACUCCAGAAUGAGUAUUUGCCUUUCUUUGAAGCCAGAGAAUGAUGUGCUGCAGCACCGGAAACAUCAUUUACUUUCCAAAAUGGGCCGCAUUGUAACCUGAGUGUGUGCCAUUGUUGCUGAUGUGAGAAGGAGCGCCUUGACAUUUUUGGCUGUGAUUUCAAGUGUCCUCAUGCAAGAGUACUAGCUCUCCUACACCAGAGCAUAUAGACUUUCAGAAAAGGAUGGAGAAUAAAAAGAAGGAGGCCCGUAUGAAGACAGCCAACUUAGAAAACAGCAGGGCCCAGUUCGAGUGAGAGCAAGGCCAAUAUUGUGUGUGUGUGUGUGUGUGUGUGUGUGUGUGUGUUUUAUGGCCAAACUGUAUCUAGGGAUGCUAAAUAAAAGAUACCAAUUUUAUAAUAUAUGUUGUAAACGAAGCCCUCAAACUGUUUAAAAUGAGUAUUUCGGUAGCCAUAUGCUCUGCAUGGUCACAUAUAUGUAUAUGUGAUAUGGGUGUGUGUGCGCACACACGUGCCGG
rnacentral:lncRNA from 1 species